rnacentral:rRNA from 1 species
GAUGAACGCUGGCGGCGUGCCUAAUACAUGCAAGUAGAACGCUGAAGCUUGGUGCUUGCACCGAGCGGAUGAGUUGCGAACGGGUGAGUAACGCGUAGGUAACCUGCCUCUUAGCGGGGGAUAACUAUUGGAAACGAUAGCUAAUACCGCAUAAAAGUCGAUAUCGCAUGAUAUUGAUUUGAAAGGUACAAUUGCAUCACUAAGAGAUGGAUCUGCGUUGUAUUAGCUAGUUGGUGAGGUAACGGCUCACCAAGGCGACGAUACAUAGCCGACCUGAGAGGGUGAUCGGCCACACUGGGACUGAGACACGGCCCAGACUCCUACGGGAGGCAGCAGUAGGGAAUCUUCGGCAAUGGGGGCAACCCUGACCGAGCAACGCCGCGUGAGUGAAGAAGGUUUUCGGAUCGUAAAGCUCUGUUGUAAGAGAAGAACGAGUGUGAGAGUGGAAAGUUCACACUGUGACGGUAACUUACCAGAAAGGGACGGCUAACUACGUGCCAGCAGCCGCGGUAAUACGUAGGUCCCGAGCGUUAUCCGGAUUUAUUGGGCGUAAAGCGAGCGCAGGCGGUUAGAUAAGUCUGAAGUUAAAGGCUGUGGCUUAACCAUAGUACGCUUUGGAAACUGUUUAACUUGAGUGCAGAAGGGGAGAGUGGAAUUCCAUGUGUAGCGGUGAAAUGCGUAGAUAUAUGGAGGAACACCGGUGGCGAAAGCGGCUCUCUGGUCUGUAACUGACGCUGAGGCUCGAAAGCGUGGGGAGCAAACAGG